rnacentral:sRNA from 1 species
AUGGGUUGCAAAAAAAAAUGAAAAACA